rnacentral:rRNA from 1 species
GAUGAACGCUCGCGGCAGGCCUAACACAUGCAAGUCGAGGGAGAAGCCCUUUCGGGGGCAGAAACCGGCGCACGGGUGCGUAACGCGUAUGCAACCUACCUUUCACAGGGGGAUAGCCCGAAGAAAUUUGGAUUAAUACCCCAUAAUAUUAUUGGAUGGCAUCAUUUGAUAAUUAAAACUGCGGUGGUGAAAGAUGGGCAUGCGUCCUAUUAGCUAGUUGGAGUGGUAACGGCACCCCAAGGCUACGAUAGGUAGGGGUCCUGAGAGGGAGAUCCCCCACACUGGUACUGAGACAGGGACCAGACUCCUACGGGAGGCAGCAGUGAGGAAUAUUGGUCAAUGGUCGGAAGACUGAACCAGCCAUGCCGCGUGCAGGAAGAAUGCCUUAUGGGUUGUAAACUGCUUUUAUAUGGGAAGAAUAAGGCGUACGUGUACGUUGAUGACGGUACCAUAUGAAUAAGCAUCGGCUAACUCCGU